GACAGAGGGGGCAAGCGUUGCUCGGAAUCACUGGGCGUAAAGGGCGCGUAGGCGGGAUGGCAAGUCGGUCGUGAAAUCCUUCGGCUCAACCGAAGAACGUCGGCCGAUACUGCCGUUCUUGAGGGAUGCAGAGGAGAUUGGAAUUCCCGGUGUAGCGGUGAAAUGUGUAGAGAUCGGGAGGAACACCGGUGGCGAAGGCGGCCUUCUGGACGGUGACUGACGCUGAGGCGCGAAAGCGUGGGGAGCAAACGGG
rnacentral:rRNA from 1 species